GUCUGUGGGCUUAUCAGCCUGAACACCACUGACCCUGUCUGAUCUCGGAAGCUAAGCAGGGUCGGGCCUGGUUAGAACUGGGAUGGGAGAGUUCCUAGGGCACCCAAGGGACCCAGCUACA
rnacentral:rRNA from 1 species